UACAUGUGGGGUAAGCGUUGUUCGGAAUUACUGGGCAUAAAGGGUGCGUAGGCGGCUUGUUAAGUCAGGGGUGAAAGUUUUCGGCCCAACCGGAAAAUGGCCUCUGAUACUGGCGAGCUCGAGUGCGUGAGGGGUGACUGGAACGAGCAGUGUAGCGGUGAAAGGCGUAGAUAUUGCUCGGAAGGCCAACGGCGAAGGCAGGUCACUGGUACGCAACUGACGCUGAGGCACGAAAGCGUGGGGAGCAAACAGG
rnacentral:rRNA from 1 species